AGUGAACGCUGGCGGUAGGCCUAACACAUGCAAGUCGAACGGCAGCACAGUAAGAGCUUGCUCUUACGGGUGGCGAGUGGCGGACGGGUGAGGAAUACAUCGGAAUCUACUUUUUCGUGGGGGAUCACGUAGGGAAACUUACGCUAAUACCGCAUACGACCUACGGGUGAAAGCAGGGGAUCUUCGGACCUUGCGCGAUUGAAUGAGCCGAUGUCGGAUUAGCUAGUUGGCGGGGUAAAGGCCCACCAAGGCGACGAUCCGUAGCUGGUCUGAGUGGAUGAUCGGCCACACGAGAACUGAGACACGGUCCAGACUCCUACGGGAGGCAGCAGUGGGGAAUAUUGGGCAAUGGGCGGAAGCCUGAUCCAGCCAUACCGCGUGGGUGAAGAAGGCGUUCGGGUUGGAAAGCCCUUUUGUGGGGAAAGAAAAGCAGCAGGUUAAUACCACGCUGUUCUGACGGUACCCAAAGAAUAAGCACCGGCUAACUUCGUG
rnacentral:rRNA from 1 species